GUACCUGGUGGCGAGCGGCGGACGGGUGAGUAAUGCCUAGGAAUCUGCCUAGUAGUGGGGGAUAACGUCCGGAAACGGGCGCUAAUACCGCAUACGUCCUACGGGAGAAAGUGGGGGAUCUUCGGACCUCACGCUAUUAGAUGAGCCUAGGUCGGAUUAGCUAGUUGGUGAGGUAAUGGCUCACCAAGGCGACGAUCCGUAACUGGUCUGAGAGGAUGAUCAGUCACACUGGAACUGAGACACGGUCCAGACUCCUACGGGAGGCAGCAGUGGGGAAUAUUGGACAAUGGGCGAAAGCCUGAUCCAGCCAUGCCGCGUGUGUGAAGAAGGUCUUCGGAUUGUAAAGCACUUUAAGUUGGGAGGAAGGGCAGUUACCUAAUACGUGAUUGUUUUGACGUUACCGACAGAAWAAGCACCGGCUAACUCUGUGCCAGCAGCCGCGGUAAUACAGAGGGUGCAAGCGUUAAUCGGAAUUACUGGGCGUAAAGCGCGCGUAGGUGGUUUGUUAAGUUGGAUGUGAAAGCCCCGGGCUCAACCUGGGAACUGCAUCCAAAACUGGCAAGCUAGAGUAUGGUAGAGGGUGGUGGAAUUUCCUGUGUAGCGGUGAAAUGCGUAGAUAUA
rnacentral:rRNA from 1 species